rnacentral:rRNA from 2 species
UAAAACGACUCUCGGCAACGGAUAUCUCGGCUCACGCAUCGAUGAAGAACGUAGCAAAAUGCGAUACUUGGUGUGAAUUGCAGAAUCCCGUGAACCAUCGAGUUUUUGAACGCAAGUUGCGCCCGAAGCCAUCCGGCCGAGGGCACGCCUGCCUGGGCGUCACGC